UACGUAGGGGGCGAGCGUUGUCCGGAUUCAUUGGGCGUAAAGCGCGCGUAGACGGCUCCGCAAGUCGGCCGUGAAAUCUCCGGGCUCAACUCGGAGGGGUCGGGCGAGACUGCGGGGCUCGAGGUGGGCAGAGGGCAGUGGAAUUCCGGGUGUAGUGGUGGAAUGCGUAGAGAUCCGGAGGAACACCAGUGGCGAAGGCGGCAUCCUGGACCGACACUGACACUGAGGAGCGAAAGCCAGGGGAGCAAACGGG
rnacentral:rRNA from 1 species